UGCGUAGGCGGUUUGGUAAGUCAGAUGUGAAAUUCCUGGGUUCAACCGAGGAACUGCAUUUGAUACUGCCAGACUAGAGUACUGGAGAGGAGACUGGAAUUUACGGUGUAGCAGUGAAAUGCGUAGAUAUCGUAAGGAAGGCCAGUGGCGAAGGCGAGUCUCUGGACAGUAACUGACGCUGAGGCACGAAGGCUAGGGGAGCAAACG
rnacentral:rRNA from 1 species